UUAAGCGACUAAGCGUACACGGUGGAUGCCCUGGCAGUCAGAGGCGAUGAAGGACGUGCUAAUCUGCGAUAAGCGUCGGUGAGGUGAUAUGAACCGUUAUAACCGGCGAUUUCCGAAUGGGGAAACCCAGUGUGAUUCGUCACACUAUCAUUAACUGAAUCCAUAGGUUAAUGAGGCGAACCGGGGGAACUGAAACAUCUAAGUACCCCGAGGAAAAGAAAUCAACCGAGAUUCCCCCAGUAGCGGCGAGCGAACGGGGAGGAGCCCAGAGCCUGAAUCAGUGUGUGUGUUAGUGGAAGCGUCUGGAAAGGCGCGCGAUACAGGGUGACAGCCCCGUACACAAAAAUGCACAUAUUGUGAGCUCGAUGAGUAGGGCGGGACACGUGGUAUCCUGUCUGAAUAUGGGGGGACCAUCCUCCAAGGCUAAAUACUCCUGACUGACCGAUAGUGAACCAGUACCGUGAGGGAAAGGCGAAAAGAACCCCGGCGAGGGGAGUGAAAAAGAACCUGAAACCGUGUACGUACAAGCAGUGGGAGCCUCUUUUAUGGGGUGACUGCGUACCUUUUGUAUAAUGGGUCAGCGACUUAUAUUCUGUAGCAAGGUUAACCGAAUAGGGGAGCCGAAGGGAAACCGAGUCUUAACUGGGCGUUAAGUUGCAGGGUAUAGACCCGAAACCCGGUGAUCUAGCCAUGGGCAGGUUGAAGGUUGGGUAACACUAACUGGAGGACCGAACCGACUAAUGUUGAAAAAUUAGCGGAUGACUUGUGGCUGGGGGUGAAAGGCCAAUCAAACCGGGAGAUAGCUGGUUCUCCCCGAAAGCUAUUUAGGUAGCGCCUCGUGAAUUCAUCUCCGGGGGUAGAGCACUGUUUCGGCAAGGGGGUCAUCCCGACUUACCAACCCGAUGCAAACUGCGAAUACCGGAGAAUGUUAUCACGGGAGACACACGGCGGGUGCUAACGUCCGUCGUGAAGAGGGAAACAACCCAGACCGCCAGCUAAGGUCCCAAAGUCAUGGUUAAGUGGGAAACGAUGUGGGAAGGCCCAGACAGCCAGGAUGUUGGCUUAGAAGCAGCCAUCAUUUAAAGAAAGCGUAAUAGCUCACUGGUCGAGUCGGCCUGCGCGGAAGAUGUAACGGGGCUAAACCAUGCACCGAAGCUGCGGCAGCGACGCUUAUGCGUUGUUGGGUAGGGGAGCGUUCUGUAAGCCUGUGAAGGUGUGCUGUGAGGCAUGCUGGAGGUAUCAGAAGUGCGAAUGCUGACAUAAGUAACGAUAAAGCGGGUGAAAAGCCCGCUCGCCGGAAGACCAAGGGUUCCUGUCCAACGUUAAUCGGGGCAGGGUGAGUCGACCCCUAAGGCGAGGCCGAAAGGCGUAGUCGAUGGGAAACAGGUUAAUAUUCCUGUACUUGGUGUUACUGCGAAGGGGGGACGGAGAAGGCUAUGUUGGCCGGGCGACGGUUGUCCCGGUUUAAGCGGGUAGGCUGGUUUUCCAGGCAAAUCCGGAAAAUCAAGGCUGAGGCGUGAUGACGAGGCACUACGGUGCUGAAGCAACAAAUGCCCUGCUUCCAGGAAAAGCCUCUAAGCAUCAGGUAACAUCAAAUCGUACCCCAAACCGACACAGGUGGUCAGGUAGAGAAUACCAAGGCGCUUGAGAGAACUCGGGUGAAGGAACUAGGCAAAAUGGUGCCGUAACUUCGGGAGAAGGCACGCUGAUAUGUAGGUGAAGCGACUUGCUCGUGGAGCUGAAAUCAGUCGAAGAUACCAGCUGGCUGCAACUGUUUAUUAAAAACACAGCACUGUGCAAACACGAAAGUGGACGUAUACGGUGUGACGCCUGCCCGGUGCCGGAAGGUUAAUUGAUGGGGUCAGCGCAAGCGAAGCUCUUGAUCGAAGCCCCGGUAAACGGCGGCCGUAACUAUAACGGUCCUAAGGUAGCGAAAUUCCUUGUCGGGUAAGUUCCGACCUGCACGAAUGGCGUAAUGAUGGCCAGGCUGUCUCCACCCGAGACUCAGUGAAAUUGAACUCGCUGUGAAGAUGCAGUGUACCCGCGGCAAGACGGAAAGACCCCGUGAACCUUUACUAUAGCUUGACACUGAACAUUGAGCCUUGAUGUGUAGGAUAGGUGGGAGGCUUAGAAGUGUGGACGCCAGUCUGCAUGGAGCCGACCUUGAAAUACCACCCUUUAAUGUUUGAUGUUCUAACGUGGACCCGUGAUCCGGGUUGCGGACAGUGUCUGGUGGGUAGUUUGACUGGGGCGGUCUCCUCCUAAAGAGUAACGGAGGAGCACGAAGGUUGGCUAAUCCUGGUCGGACAUCAGGAGGUUAGUGCAAUGGCAUAAGCCAGCUUGACUGCGAGCGUGACGGCGCGAGCAGGUGCGAAAGCAGGUCAUAGUGAUCCGGUGGUUCUGAAUGGAAGGGCCAUCGCUCAACGGAUAAAAGGUACUCCGGGGAUAACAGGCUGAUACCGCCCAAGAGUUCAUAUCGACGGCGGUGUUUGGCACCUCGAUGUCGGCUCAUCACAUCCUGGGGCUGAAGUAGGUCCCAAGGGUAUGGCUGUUCGCCAUUUAAAGUGGUACGCGAGCUGGGUUUAGAACGUCGUGAGACAGUUCGGUCCCUAUCUGCCGUGGGCGCUGGAGAACUGAGGGGGGCUGCUCCUAGUACGAGAGGACCGGAGUGGACGCAUCACUGGUGUUCGGGUUGUCAUGCCAAUGGCACUGCCCGGUAGCUAAAUGCGGAAGAGAUAAGUGCUGAAAGCAUCUAAGCACGAAACUUGCCCCGAGAUGAGUUCUCCCUGACUCCUUGAGAGUCCUGAAGGAACGUUGAAGACGACGACGUUGAUAGGCCGGGUGUGUAAGCGCAGCGAUGCGUUGAGCUAACCGGUACUAAUGAACCGUGAGGCUUAACCUU
rnacentral:rRNA from 2 species